rnacentral:rRNA from 1 species
ACUCCUACGGGAGGCAGCAGUGAGGAAUAUUGGUCAAUGGUCGGGAGACUGAACCAGCCAAGCCGCGUGAGGGAAGAAGGUACAGAGUAUCGUAAACCUCUUUUGCCGGGGGACAAAAGGCCGGACGUGUCCGGUUUUKAGGGUACCCGGAGAAAAAGCAUCGGCUAACUCCGUGCCAGCAGCCGCGGUAAUAC